CCUACGGGGGGCAGCAGUGGGGAAUAUUGCGCAAUGGGCGAAAGCCUGACGCAGCGACGCCGCGUGAGGGAUGAAGGUCUUCGGAUCGUAAACCUCUGUCAGCAGGGAAGAACGGUCACUGUGCUAAUCAGCAGUGAAUUGACGGUACCUGCAAAGGAAGCACCGGCUAACUCCGUGCCAGCAGCCGCGGUAAUACGGGGGGUGCGAGCGUUAAUCGGAAUUACUGGGCGUAAAGCGCUCGUAGGCGGUAUGUCAAGUCAAGGGGGAAAUCCCCGCGCUCAAGGUGGGAACUGCCUUUGAAACUGGCAAACUGGAGUGUGUGAGAGGAUAGUGGAAUUCCAGGUGUAGGAGUGAAAUCCGGAGAUAUCUGGAGGAACAUCAGUGGCGAAGGCGACUAUCUGGCACAUAACUGACGCUGAGGAGCGAAAGCGUGGGUAGCAAACAGGAUUAGAUACCCUAGUAGUC
rnacentral:rRNA from 1 species